GGCAGGUAGUCUAGUGGUUAGAGGCAGGUAGUCUAGUGGUUAGAGGAGGCAGGUAGUCUAGUGGUUAGAGGCAGGUAGUCUAGUGGUUAGAGGAGGCAGGUAGCCUAGUGGUUAGAGGAGGCAGGUAGCCUAGUGGUUAGAGGAGGCAGGUAGUCUAGUGGUUAGAGGAGGCAGGUAGUCUAGUGGUUAGAGGAGGCAGGUAGUCUAGUGGUUAGAGGCAGGUAGUCUAGUGGUUAGAGGAGGCAGGUAGUCUAGUGGUUAGAGGCAGGUAGCCUUGUGGUUAGAGGAGGCAGGUAGUCUAGUGGUUAGAGGAGGCAGGUAGUCUAGUGGUUAGAGGCAGGUAGUCUAGUGGUUAGAGGAGGCAGGUAGCCUAGUGGUUAGAGGCAGGUAGCCUAGUGAUUAGAGGAGGCAGGUAGCCUAGUGGUUAGAGGAGGCA